GUGUAUAUGCUGCCAUGAUUAGCCAGGAAAGUGGAAAAUUUAUUCAUACUUACCAUAAUUUUCUUUUCCUGGCUAUUAUUCAUGGCAGCAUAUACAACCCGCCCUUAUGGAUCUAAUUCUUCUGUAAGUGCUUGUUACUGACUGAGGGUCUCUUCUCUGGAUCCUCCUUUUAUAAGAAUUUGUUUAAACCUGUCCUAUUGGCUGUAAGGGG